AGAGUUUGAUCAUGGCUCAGAUUGAACGCUGGCGGUAACUUUUAAACAUGCAAGUCGAGCGGUAACAGACAUAAAGAUUCAGCUUGCUGAAUCCGGUGCUGACGAGCGGCGAACGGGUGAGUAACGCGUAGGAAUCUACCCAGUAGCGGGGGAUAGCCCGAGGAAACUCGGAUUAAUACCGCAUACGCCCUAAGGGGGAAAGGGGGCAGCUUGCUGCUCUCACUAUUGGAUGAGCCUGCGUAAGAUUAGCUUGUUGGUGGGGUAAAGGCCUACCAAGGCAACGAUCUUUAGCUGGUCUGAGAGGACGAUCAGCCACAUUGGGACUGAGACACGGCCCAGACAUCUACGGAUGGCAGCAGUUAAGAAUAUUGGACAAUGGGGGCAACCCUGAUCCAGGUAUACCGCGUGUGUGAAGAAGGCCCUAGGGUUGUAAAGCACUUUAAUCAGAGAAGAAGCAUUUUAAGUUAAUACCUUAAUAUGUUGACGUUACCUGAAGAAUAAGGACCGGCUAACUCCGUGCCAGCAGCCGCGGUAAUACGGAGGGUCCAAGCGUUAAUCGGAAUUACUGGGCGUAAAGCGCGCGUAGGCGGUUUAGCAAGUUGUAUGUGAAAGCCCUGGGCUCAACCUAGGAACUGCAUUCAAAACUACUAAGCUAGAGUACGAGAGAGGAGAGUAGAAUUUCUGGUGUAGCGGUGAAAUGCGUAGAUAUCAGAAGGAAUACCAAUGGCGAAGGCAGCUCUCUGGCUCGUCACUGACGCUAAGGUGCGAAAGCGUGGGUAGCAAACAGGAUUAGAUACCCUGGUAGUCCACGCCUUAAACGAUGGGCACUAGGUGUCGCGGGUAUUGACCCCUGCGGUGCCGCAGCUAACGCAUUAAGUGCCCCGCCUGGGGACUACGGC
rnacentral:rRNA from 1 species